UUUAAUUCGAAGCAACGCGAAGAACCUUACCAGGUCUUGACAUCCUCUGACAACCCUAGAGAUAGGGCUUCUCCUUCGGGAGCAGAGUGACAGGUGGUGCAUGGUUGUCGUCAGCUCGUGUCGUGAGGUGUUGGGUUAAGUCCCGCAACGAGCGCAACCCUUGAUCUUAGUUGCCAUCAUUUAGUUGGGCACUCUAAGGUGACUGCCGGUGACAAACCGGAGGAAGGUGGGGAUGACGUCAAAUCAUCAUGCCCCUUAUGACCUGGGCUACACACGUGCUACAAUGGACGGUACAAAGAGCUGCAAGACCGCGAGGUGGAGCUAAUCUCAUAAAACCGUUCUCAGUUCGGAUUGUAGGCUGCAACUCGCCUACAUGAAGCUGGAAUCGCUAGUAAUCGCGGAUCAGCAUGCCG
rnacentral:rRNA from 1 species